AAAGAAGCAAGAAGCAACAAGAACUGCUAAUUCUUGUACCCUUAGUUAAACUCUAAG
rnacentral:tRNA from 1 species